AGGAGGCCGCCUUCUGGGAAGAUCAACGCCGAGCGGUCCCGCGGGGGAGGGGGCCCGAGGCCGAGUUCCCCCUCGCCUGACCCCCCAGCCAGAUCAAGUCCAUGGAGAAGGGGGAGAAGGUGCUGCCCGCCAGCUACAGGCCGGACCCCCGCCCCCAAGGGACAGGGAAGGCCAAGGGCGGAGCGGCCGGGCCACCUGCGGGCGGAGCCGCUGGCCCUUCCCGGCGCCGGCGUCCAGCCCGAGGGACCCCCGCCCGUCCGGGCCUGCACCGGGGUGUCGGAGGAGGGAGCCCCCUCGGAGCCCGUGGGCCAGCAGCUCUCCCCCGGGGCCGGCCCCAUCGAUGGGGAGGUGGUGGCGGAUGAGCUGUUCUCCGAACCCAGCGCCGCAAAGGUCAGCGCGAGCAGUGUCAUCCUGAAGACGGGGUUUGAUUUCCUGGACAACUGGUAAAACGAGUCAGACACACGCACACCAACCCCACAGAGAAACCAAAACCCCGACGAUUCCCGCCGAGGUGUGGCCGGCGGGCGCGGGCGGAAAGGGCAGCCUCUCCCAGGGCCGUUUCCCGGUCUCUGUACGCGGUUAUUUUUUUUGAAUCUUUUGGAAACUGUAAGAAUCGCCGUGUCCAGAUUUCCAGAGCUCCCCCCUUUUUGCUAAGACCCGAUGUAUCUGCCGUUUUCCACGAUUUGAUAACCGAAGUUUUUGCAUUUGGAAUUUUUAAAGACUGUUGGGCAUUCCUGCUGUG